rnacentral:tRNA from 1 species
AAUAAAGUGCCUGAUAAAAGGAUUAUUCUGAUAGGAUAAAUAAUGUAAAUUCUCCCUUACCUUUAUUA